rnacentral:rRNA from 1 species
GCUUAGCCCUAAACCUUAAUAAUUUAAUAACAAAAAUAUUUGCCAGAGAACUACUAGCCACAGCUUAAAACUCAAAGGACUUGGCGGUACUUUAUAUCCAUCUAGAGGAGCCUGUUCUGUAAUCGAUAAACCCCGCUCUACCUCACCAUCUCUUGCUAAUUCAGCCUAUAUACCGCCAUCUUCAGCAAACCCUAAAAAGGCAUUAAAGUAAGCACAAGAACAACCAUAAAAACGUUAGGUCAAGGUGUAGCCAAUGAAAUGGAUAGAAAUGGGCUACAUUUUCUUUUCCAAGAACAUCAACGAUACCCUUUAUGAAAUCUAAAGGGCCAAGGAGGAUUUAGUAGUAAAUUAAGAAUAGAGAGCUUAAUUG